AUUAGUUACAGUGUUUUGUGUCUGUUAAUGAGCGACUGUCUCCAGGUAAAUGAUGUGAGUGUGUUUGCAUAUUGAUCAGAUGCUUCAGUGCUCUGAGAGUGUUUAUAGUGCUGUGAGUUUAACACUUCAUCACUGACACACACAACAAUCUUCAUCAACAUGACCUUCAUCAUCAUCUUCAUCUGGACUCUUUCAUACUGCUUUAUACUACAAGGGUGUAAAGCUCAGAUCACAGUCACUCAGACUCCAGUGAAACCUGUCACACCAGGAGAAAAUGUAGUGAUGAGCUGUAAACUCAGUACUCCUGCUACAGCCUGCAGCCCACCCUGUGUGUCCUGGUACUUACAGAAAUCUGGAGAAGCUCCUAAACGCCUGAUUUAUAGAACAAGCACUCUUCAGUCAGGAACUCCAUCUAGAUUCAGUGGCAGUGGAUCUAACAAAGAUUUCACUCUGACCAUCAGUGGAGUCCAGACUGAAGAUGCUGGACAUUAUUACUGUCUGAGUUUCCACAGCAUCAGCAGUGGUUAUGUGUUCACACAGUGAUUGUGAGUGGUACAAAAACCUGUGUCAGUCAGAGUCACAGUGACUGAACUGAUGCUGCAGCUGAUCAAACACUAUCACACACUCUACAGAGAAGAAACACUAAUACAGUAUAGUCCUAAUAUAAACUUUGUUGUAUUUUAUAUUUGAAAAUAGAAAUGAGUUUUGACAAUCAGAUUUUUUUCUUUCUAAUAAUACAGUCAUACUGUAAAGUGCAAACCAGCAUAUUCGUGCAAAAU